UGUGAAGUUGGAAGCCAUUCAACAAAUGUGUGGCGUCUACCAUUAUUUUUGAAAGUAGCAUUUAUUUGUAGUUACAGAAUUAUACAUAUUUUAAGUAUUUUGUUGGAAAAAGUAACGAACUCCGCUUACAUUUUUAACAAAUUUUCAUUACAACGUCAAAAUGAUUCAGCCAUAGGAGUUUUUGCAGUCUAACAUCGAAUAAUAAAAGGAGCCGGUGCGUAUAUUGCAGUGGCUACUAAACGCCUCGGUGUUCCAGCAACGACCGAUAAAUCUGACGGCUUCAAUCGCAAUCGGCUUCUGCUGAAGUUAUAGAAAUGCUUAAUUAUUCAUUGAGAUUUUUUUUUUUUAAGAAUCAUCAUCAGAGUUACCCCCUACAAACACAAUGGGCUGCGGUAAGAAUAAUUUUGGGUGAGAUUAUGGAGCCGCCACAGUUGUGAUCAUCACCAAAAUAUCGUUUAUAUUUGCUUCCGCGUAUGGAGACAACAUAUUUGCUUAAAUUAUCUUUCUUAGGACGAUAACCACCGGUUAUUAAAUAACUAUAAUUUCCUGAAUAAUCUCCAAUUGGUAAUUUGCUAAUGUUUUUUGCGCAAAGAUUUGUUUCCAAACAUAAUAAGUUUAUACAAAUUAUUGACACUAAAAUUUUUUGACAAAAACACAUUUCGAAUAUCUUGUAACCAAUUUGUUACUAUACUCAACAUCACAAAUAAUGGUUAUCUAUAGGAAUUAGAAAAGGUGAAAAAGUUCGAAGUUCGUUUGAAGUUGAACACAACAUCAAGUAUGAGAAUGUUAAGUUUGUUGGAGCAAUUAUGUAUACAUAAAUGUUAAAUGAUUAAUUGAAGUUUUAGUUUAAUUGUGAUACGCCCUGUUACCUAUUUAUAAGUAUAUUACUCGCAUCA